AGAAAGGUAAGCUAAAUUAAGCUACCAGGUUCAUACCCUGUUUAUAGAGAAUAUAAUCCUCUCCUCUCUA
rnacentral:tRNA from 1 species